rnacentral:misc_RNA from 1 species
CCAAUAGCGUAUAUUAAAGUUGUUGUGGUUAAAAAGCUCGUAGUUGAACCUUGGGCCUGGCUGGCCGGUCCGCCUCACCGCGUGUACUGGUCCGGCCGGGCCUUUCCCUCUGUGGAACCCCAUGCCCUUCACUGGGUGUGGCGGGGAAACAGGACUUUUACUUUGAAAAAAUUAGAGUGCUCCAGGCAGGCCUAUGCUCGAAUACAUUAGCAUGGAAUACUAGAAUAGGACGUGUGGUUCGAUUUUGUUGGUUUCUAGGACCGCCGUAAUGAUUAAUAGGGACAGUCGGGGGCAUCAGUAUUCAAUUGUCAGAGGUGAAAUUCUUGGAUUUAUUGAAGACUAACUACUGCGAAAGCAUUUGCCAAGGAUGUUUUCAUUAAUCAGGAACGAAAGUUAGGGGAUCGAAGACGAUCAGAUACCGUCGUAGUCUUAACCAUAAACUAUGCCGACUAGGGAUCGGACGAUGUUACUUAUUGACUCGUUCGGCACCUUACG